AGUGAACGCUGGCGGUAGGCCUAACACAUGCAAGUCGAACGGCAGCACAGUAAGCGCUUGCUCUUACGGGUGGCGAGUGGCGGACGGGUGAGGAAUACAUCGGAAUCUACUUUUUCGUGGGGGAUAACGUAGGGAAAAUUACGCUAAUACCGCAUACGACCUACGGGUGAAAGCAGGGGAUCUUCGGACAUUGCGCGAAUGAAUGAGCCGAUGUCGGAUUAGCUAGUUGGCGGGGUAAAGGCCCACCAAGGCGACGAUCCGUAGCUGGUCUGAGAGGAUGAUCAGCCACACUGGAACUGAGACACGGUCCAGACUCCUACGGGAGGCAGCAGUGGGGAAUAUUGGACAAUGGGCGCAAGCCUGAUCCAGCCAUACCGCGUGGGUGAAGAAGGCCUUCGGGUUUUAAAGCCCUUUUGUUGGGAAAGAAAAGCAGCAGGUUAAUACCCCGCUGUUCUGACGGUACCCAAAGAAUAAGCACCGGCUAACUUCGUG
rnacentral:rRNA from 1 species